rnacentral:snRNA from 1 species
AGUUAGUACUUAUCAUUCUUCAG